rnacentral:rRNA from 1 species
GAUAAACGCUAGCGGUGUGCAUUAUGCAUGCAAGUCGAACGGUCUAUCGAAAGAUAAACAGUGGCAAACGGCUGAGUAACACGUAAGUAACCUGUCCCAAAGUGGGGAAUAAUUCGCCGAAAGGUGGACUAAUACCGCAUGUGGUAGUGGGGGUAGGUUCCCAUUACUAAAGCUUAAGGGCGCUUAGGGAGGGGCUUGCGACCUAUCAGGUAGUUGGUGGGGUAACGGCUCACCAAGCCAAUGACGGGUAGCUGGUCUGAGAGGACGAUCAGCCACACUGGAACUGAGACACGGUCCAGACUCCUACGGGUGGCA